GGGGAUGCUUUGAUCGACGGAAAGUUCUUUGAAAAACAGCAAGCCGAGAAUGAUACUUCUCGUUAACGCGUAUCAAAAAAUAAAUAACGUAUCUAAUAAAUACGCUCCCGUUUACGCUUACGCCUAAACGGAGUCCGCUUUGUUUUCUCUUGGUGAAGCAAUUCGGGCUUGAAUAAAGCCAAGAUGCCAUUUUGGCUGAUUGACUAGUCGGUUAAAACUAAGCUUAAUUAGUCUGGCUUUAACUUUCCGGUUAACAGGAUCAGGUUAAAGUAAGAUUUAAAAGUUAACUAAGCUUGUAGAAGUUUUUCAGAUAAUUUUUACGGACGGGAGUUCAAUACUCCCCAUCUCCACCA
rnacentral:tmRNA from 3 species